UACGUAGGGUGCAAGCGUUGUCCGGAAUUAUUGGGCGUAAGAGCUCGUAGGCGGUCGUCACGUCGGCUGUGAAAUCCCGAGGCUCAACCUCGGGUCUGCAGUCGAUACGGGCGGACUGGAGUACUGCAGGGGAGACGUGGAAUUCCUGGUGUAGCGGUGAAAUGCGCAGAUAUCAGGAGGAACACCGGUGGCGAAGGCGGUUCUCUGGGCCUUACCUGACGCUGAGGAGCGAAAGCAUGGGGAGCAAACAGG
rnacentral:rRNA from 1 species